rnacentral:rRNA from 1 species
UUUGCCGCUGAGGGGUUGACCAAGCGAAGCGCGGUAGGUUUUCUGCUUAGGAGUUUAAUCAUGUUUCAGACUUUUAUUUCUCGCCAUAAUUCAAACUUUUUUUCUGAUAAGCUGGUUCUCACUUCUGUUACUCCAGCUUCUUCGGCACCUGUUUUACAGACACCUAAAGCUACAUCGUCAACGUUAUAUUUUGAUAG